rnacentral:rRNA from 1 species
GUGCCAGCAGCCGCGGUAAUACGAAGGGGUGCAAGCGUUACUCGGAAUUACUGGGGCGUWAAGGCGUGCGUAGGUGGUGGUUUAAGUCUGUUGUGAAAGCCCUGGGCUCAACCUGGGAAUUGCAGUGGAUACUGGGUCACUAGAGUGUGGUAGAGGGUAGCGGAAUUCCCGGUGUAGCAGUGAAAUGCGUAGAGAUCGGGAGGAACAUCCGUGGCGAAGGCGGCUACCUGGACCAACACUGACACUGAGGCACGAAAGCGUGGGGAGCAAACAKGAUUAGAUACCCUGGUAGUCC